rnacentral:rRNA from 1 species
CCUACGGGUGGCAGCAGUGGGGAAUAUUGGACAAUGGGGGCAACCCUGAUCCAGCCAUGCCGCGUGUGUGAAGAAGGCCCUCGGGUUGUAAAGCACUUUCAGUGAGGAAGAACGCCUGGUGGUUAAUACCCAUCAGGAAAGACAUCACUCACAGAGGAAGCACCGGCUAACUCCGUGCCAACAGCCGCGGUAAUACGGAGGGUGCGAGCGUUAAUCGGAAUUACUGGGCGUAAAGCGCGCGUAGGUGGCUUGAUAAGCCGGUUGUGAAAGCCCCGGGCUCAACCUGGGAACGGCAUCCGGAACUGUCAAGCUAGAGUGCAGGAGAGGAAGGUAGAAUUCCCGGUGUAGCGGUGAAAUGCGUAGAGAUCGGGAGGAAUACCAGUGGCGAAGGCGGCCUUCUGGACUGACACUGACACUGAGGUGCGAAAGCGUGGGUAGCAAACAGGAUUAGAUACCCCAGUAGUC